GCGCGGGGGCGGCCCCCAGCGCGGCGCUUCAUGGAGCGGCCCCGGCCCGGCCGCCGGGGGCAGCGCGAUCCCGCGGGGCCCUGUGAGCCCCCAGCGCCACGGCACCAUGUUGCUGGUUGAGAAGACAACUGACUCACCGGCGGCGGAGUUCUCGCUGGUGGAGGACGUGGCGCUGCACUUCGCCUGCUUGAUGGGCCGCCUGAACGAGCAGCGCCUCUUCCAGCCCGACCUCUGCGACGUGGACCUGGUGCUGGUGCCCCAGCACAGCGUCUUCCCGGCACACAAGGGCGUGCUCGCCGCCUACAGCCAGUUCUUCCACUCGCUCUUCACCCAGAACAAGCAGCUGCAGCGUGUGGAGCUGUCCCUGGAGGCGCUGGCGCCUGGUGGCCUGCAGCAGAUCCUCAACUUCAUCUACACGUCCAAGCUGCUGGUCAACGCAGCCAACGUCCACGAGGUGCUCAGCGCCGCCUCGCUGCUGCAGAUGGCCGACAUCGCCGCGUCCUGCCAGGAACUGCUGGACGCCCGCUCCCUAGGCCCACCGGGUCCUGGCACUGUGGCCCUGGCCCAGCCGGCUGCCAGCUGCACCCCAGCUGCGCCACCCUACUACUGUGACAUCAAGCAGGAGGCGGACACGCCGGGCCUGCCCAAGAUCUAUGCCCGCGAGGGCCCUGACCCCUACUCGGUGCGCGUUGAGGACGGGGCAGGGAACGCUGGUGGCACAGUGCCUGCCACCAUUGGGCCAGCCCAGCCCUUCUUCAAGGAGGAGAAGGAGGGUGGCGUGCAGGAGGCUGGCGGGCCCCCGGCCAGCUUGUGCAAGCUGGAAGGUGGGGAGGAGCUGGAGGAAGAGCUUGGGGGUUCUGGCACCUACAGCCGCCAGGAGCAGUCCCAGAUCAUUGUGGAGGUGAACCUCAACAACCAGACACUGCACGUGUCCACGGGGCCCGAGGGGAAGCCAGGCCCUGCGACCAGCCCGGCCACCAUGGUGCUGGGCCGGGAGGAUGGGCUUCAGAGACACUCGGAGGAGGAGGAGGAAGAGGACGAGGAAGAAGAGGGUGGUGGCAGUGGAGGAGAGGAGGAGGAGGAGGAAGAGGGUGGCAGUCAGGGAGAAGAGGAAGAGGAGGAGGAGGAAGGGCACAGUGAGCAGGAGGAGGAGGAAGAAGAGGAGGAGGAGGAGGAGGAGGAAGGGCCCAGUGAGCAAGAUCAAGAGAGCUCUGAGGAGGAGGAAGGGGAGGAGGGGGAAGCCGGGGGCAUGCAGGGGCCACCAGGGCGCCGGGGCAGCCGGGCUGACCCCCCUCCCCACAGUCGCAUGGCCACGCGGUCCCGGGAGAAUGCCCGGCGCCAGGGCAACUCUGAGCCUGAGGAGGCUGGGCAGCGGAGUGGGAAGCGACCCAAGCUGUCCCCCAGAGUGGCCUCUGCACCAGCCCGAGGGCCUCCAGCCUCUGACGGGCUGGGGGCCAAGGUGAAGCUGGAGGAGAAGCAGCACCACCCAUGCCAGAAGUGCCCACGAGUUUUCAACAACCGCUGGUACCUGGAGAAGCACAUGAAUGUGACCCACAGCCGCAUGCAGAUCUGCGACCAGUGCGGCAAGCGCUUCCUGCUAGAGAGUGAGCUGCUGCUGCACCGGCAGACGGACUGCGAGCGCAACAUCCAGUGUGUGACGUGUGGCAAAGCUUUCAAGAAGCUCUGGUCCCUCCAUGAGCACAAUAAGAUUGUGCAUGGUUACGCAGAGAAGAAGUUCUCAUGUGAGAUCUGUGAGAAGAAGUUCUAUACCAUGGCCCAUGUGCGAAAGCACAUGGUUGGGCUUCAGGCUUCUCUGAAUGCAACUUCCCCCCAGGGGUCACGCCUGGACACACCCACACCAAGGACAUGCCCUUCACCUGUGAAACCUGCGGGAAGUCCUUCAAGCGCAGCAUGUCCCUCAAGGUGCACUCACUGCAGCACUCCGGGGAGAAGCCGUUCAGAUGUGAGAACUGCAACGAGCGCUUCCAGUACAAGUACCAGCUGCGGUCACACAUGAGCAUCCACAUUGGCCACAAGCAGUUCAUGUGCCAGUGGUGCGGCAAGGACUUCAACAUGAAGCAGUACUUCGACGAGCACAUGAAGACCCACACAGGGGAGAAGCCGUACAUCUGCGAGAUCUGCGGCAAGAGCUUCACCAGCCGGCCCAACAUGAAGCGGCACCGGCGCACGCACACCGGCGAGAAGCCGUACCCGUGCGACGUGUGCGGCCAGCGCUUCCGCUUCUCCAACAUGCUCAAGGCCCACAAGGAGAAGUGCUUCCGCGUCAGCCACCCGCUGGCCAGCGACGGCCCGCCCCCCGCCCCAGGCCUGCCCCCCGCCCAGCCUCAGGCGCACACGCUGCCCCUGCUCCCGGGGCUGCCCCAGACCCUGCCGCCCCCGCCGCACCUGCCGCCCCCGCCGCCCCUCUUCCCCACCACUGCCAGCACUGGCGGGAGGAUGAACGCCACCAACUAGCUGCCGAGCUACACCUGCUGGGACCUGGAGCCCAGGGCCCGCUCCAGGAGAGACCCCACUGCCCUCCCCCCUGGCUGGGGAGGGCAGCAGCACGCGCCUGGGCCACUGCCCCCACCUCCAGAGGUGGCUGGACGUGGCCUCCUGAGACCCCGACACGGGGUGGGAGUGCGGGCUGGCAGCCCCCAGAGCCGGUGGAAGACACCUCACUCCCAAGUGCCCCCCUCUUUCUGCAACUUCUUGAAGCCUUUACUUUUUGGGUUUUUUUGGAAGUGAAGGAGAAAGAAAAGAGAGGAAACUAUUUGCAGCACCCCCUCCAGGUGAGGAGGGUGCUGGAGGCGGCAGGUACAGCGGGGAUGGAGGGCCCCAGGGGCAGGAGUCGUGGCCAGUGCUGCUGAGGCCUGAGCCGGAGAGGGUUGGCCAGGCCCUUCCUGGAUAGGCCUCAGCGGUUUGUCCCCACGUGCUCAUGCCCCUAAUUGGCUCCCUCAUCUUGGAGGGUUUGGGGAGAAGUGGGGUGCCGCCCCCUAGAAGAGUUGUGGACCCAGUCUGAGGGCUGUGGACGCCCAGCCAGGGCGCGAGGCUGGACGCCGGCGGGCGCGGGUGGGGAGUGUUGAGGAGCCGGGACUGCAGACCUGCCUCUGCGCUGCCGAGUAGUGUGGGGAAGGCAGGGGCUGGACCCCAGGGGCUUGCUUUCCCCACUCACAUCCCCGCCGGCAGGUCCGGGGGUCCCCAACCUGCACCGGGCUGCACCGUGGGUCUCGAGUCCUAGAGAUGUCCCCGGAGGCUGCUAGGCCUUGGUGCUGUGGGCCAGGCCCUAGGUGGGCAGACGGGAUGCCUCCUUCAGCACCAGCUCCCAGGGGCUGGAGUCAAGGAACCCCUGCAAGCAGGUCAGACCCCAGGGGCAGGGUCCGAGGAGGAGGCUUGGACAAGGGUUUGGGGGAUUCAAGGUGCUACCAGUGGGGCAGGGGGCAGGGCUGCCGCUCACAGAGCACCUCCGCCCCUCACCAGCCACGCUGGCCACGUAUUUCACACCAGAAGGAGACGUGUGUGUCUGUGUCCCCCUCUGCUCCCCUCGGCCCGCACUAGGCCCAGCCACAGCCUGUGCCUGGCUGGCUCCAGCGUCCUGGCUCCUCCUGGGCCUCUGCACAGGUGGGCGGGCGCUCACAGCACUGCUGGUGAGGGGAGCCCCUGGGGACAGGGGAGCCCAGCCUGUGCCCGGUCCUUGCCCUCAUGAGGCCGGCACUAAUAGGAGACCCUUUUAUUUGUUGUCAUUUAACGUCUUCAUUCCUGCCUUUAAGACGGGGCGGAAGGUUCCAUAAGCUACAUGUUUCCUAGUUAAGCUCUCUCCUCUUGUGUUUAUACAGUUUUGUUUGUUAUACUCUUUGCACCUUAAACUCCCACUACUCCCCCACGCUACCACCUUCCCAGCAUGGCCGGGGUGGGAAGAGGCCUGGGCCCAAGGGGCAUGGUUAGGGGCACUGAACCCUUCUGACCUCCUUCUGAGGCCCACGGCGCUGGGGCAGGGGGCUGGGGACAUUUUAAUCAUCAAUAAAUGAAGCACUUUAUUCUGUACAGAUGUGAGCAGGCCCAAGGUGCCCGAGUGAUGUGAGGUUUUAUGAUCCAAGCCGCACCACCCUGGUCGUUCUCUGGGCUUGGAGGGGACAGUGCCAGCAGCUUCCCUGGCCCGGUUGGGUCUGGGGCUGCAGCUGGAGCAGUUCAGCCAGCGCCCACAGACAUGCCCUUGGGCACCCCUGCUUCUCCCCAGCAGGAACGUGUGGCGCCAGGCUCUGCAGUUCCCCUACCCCCAGGGCAGGGUUUCCAGGCUCCUGCUUCACUGUAGCUCUUUUCCUUCCCCGCACCCCUGAUCUCUGGGCUUCCAUGAUGUCCUCAGGGUCCCUCCUCUUUCCCCCUUGCUAUUUCUAACCUCUGGUCCCAGUGCCUGGCAGCUCUUCAGAGCUGGCUCACAUUUUCCCAAAAAAGUUGAUCUCGCCCAGUGGGCUGCAGACAGGGACCUCCAUGGGUUCUCCAGCCCUCGUCACUAGCACCAGGGUCUCCCAUAGAGCCUGGUGGCCUUGCUUCAUGCUGGCCCCACUGCAACCUGAGUGGGCCUGGGGCCCUGGCCAGGCUGGGACCCUGGUCUUGCAGGCCAUGGUUUGGCAAGCAGAGGUCAAAGACAGGUGUGGGGAGCUGGUAUGAAACCCUGGCCCAGGACUUGGGUUUCCUGUUCUCACACACCUCCCCUCAGGGCAGGCGAGGGGUGUGGACAGCUGGCUGGGAACUGGUCAAGAUGGACAUUGUAGCUGUAGGUGGGCACGGCCAACCUCUCUCUUGGGAGGCCCUGUCCCUCUGAGGACAGGAGCCUGUGUCCCUGGUGCUAAACACUCUCUUCCCCUUGGGCCAGUGUUGGUGGGAGCACCUUUCCAGCCAGCCCACGAGGCCAGAAGCAAUAAUGGCACCUUAGCGGUGCCAGUACGGACAGGGGUUCUUGUUUUACCAGCUUUUACAUCUCCUUUUUAUUUGAAAAACAAAUUGAUGAGCACCCAGAUGUUGGAGUGAGAGGAUGGGGGGCCCCAGGCUCAGGAUCAUCACCUCCUGGGAGACCUGUUGAAGUCCCUGUGUCCAGCUGAGCUGCUCAGUCUGCUUGGCCAGCACUCAGUCCUGGAGCCUGGGCCUGCCCCUCCGCAGCUCCCUGCUGUCUGGUCUUGGCCGGCUGGGAUGAGUGGCCAGAGUGAUGAGGUGGCCCCCCAGCCCUGGAUCAUGCUGCCAUGGCCUCCACGGUGCCCCUCACCAGGGGCUCGAUGGUGGCAGAAUGGCUGCACCCAGACUGUGAUGUCUAGUCAUGUAUGGGCACCCCACAGCCCCAGAGCUUGUGGGGCACAGCAGGCAUGUGGGUGAGAAGAGUGAAGGGAAAUAAAGUCAGUACAACUCCUG